rnacentral:ncRNA from 2 species
CAAUUCGCCUUGGGGUGCUGCCGGAAACGGCGGCUGAGAUCACACCCAUUGAACCUGAAUCUGGAUAAUGCCAGCGCAGGGAUCGGCACUUCAGCAACGA